rnacentral:lncRNA from 1 species
UUUCGAACACCAUAAAUAUUUAUAUAAUCACAUAUGUGCAUUUUAUUGGUCUUCUAAUCACAAAGAUGAUGAUAAACAUAAACCAGUGCAGCCGAAGAAGACAGUAAAAAUGGACGUCCCUGCAGAAUCAUCUUCACAUGCUUCACCUGUAUGUAUAUUCCUCAUCACUUCUUAUUAUCCUCUUCAAUUACUGUUAAUUAUCAAUCUAUAUCGUUGAUGCUGGCUGUUUAUUAUUUUAGUUUGCUGUAAUUUGUUAUGUUUUAUAUGUAUUAAUGGCUAUUGAAAAGUUACCACUGCACAACAAAAAUGAAUGAGUUGAAUUCAAAUCCGGCCAACUCGUCUCCCUUCACCCCACUCUCCUUCUUGGAAAGAGCCGCCGCCGUUUACGGCGACACUCCCUCUCUCAUCUACAACCAAACCACCUACACUUGGUCUGGUUUGCAAUAUAUUCGCUAAUCGGCAUGAUUAUGAUCAUGGCUCAAGAAAUCGCUCCCGACGUGUAUUUUCAUCUUUUAAAGAUGUCGAUGUUGAUCGUUGUUCUGAUCGAUUUGUUAAUUGUCACUGAAGAUUCCUUCUUUUCAAAUUUGUUCAUGACUGAGAUCGAAAAAACAGGUGUGAUCUUUUCAGAACACAGAUCUUCAUGUUUAUGAUUAUGUGAUGAUUGAGUGAUUUACAAUAUAUAUAUUAUUGUGAUGUGGUUCAUAUUUUAUUUUUUUAUGAUUAGGUAAAAUUGUGUAAUUGAAUCCUUCUUGUUUAGAUUGUUAUGUUUCUGUUUCGAUUUUUAUUUUCGUUUUAUCUAUUUUGUCCGAAUUUGAAGAGAUUGGAUAUGUGUAUUCAAUCUUAUACUAUAUGAUUAGUUUCAUUUUACGUGUUAUGUAUGCUCAGUGUCCCGGAUGUUAAUUUGUCGUUCUUGGAUGGAUGGUGGCGAUGGUGGUGUAGUGGUGACGCAAUUAAUGCGCGUUGUUGAAGUUAGUUUAUUCGGAUUGACUUCUUGCAUAAAUUUAGUUUUAAUUUUAUAAUUUUGGAUAUACUUGUUUUCAAUAGUAGUAUUUAUUGAUCAUGAUUUUAGUUUUUUAAAUGACAAGUUGACUCUCUUAAUUUGUUUAUCUUUAAAAUUUGAAUUUUCACUAAAUGUUUUGAUUCGAUUUUUUGGGUGUUCAUUACAAGAUUAAUUGUUGAUAGUAUCUUUAUUGGUGAUUAUUGUACCUGAAUUUCAUAAUUCAUGGGGAUCAUUUAAGAUGAUUUUAUUGUGCCUUGAUAAGGUAUUAUUGUGCCUUUAAGAGCUGAUUGAUUGAUUGGCGUAUACCAAAUUCAAAUUGUGUUGAUAAUAAUUAUUAGCUAUAAUCUUGUUUUAUUUGUUUCCCUAGAUUUUUCCUUGUAUAUGUGUAGGUAUAUCUUAAAUAUUUUCCCAAAUUUAUAUUAUAUUUUCUUUAUUAUUUUUAAAUAUUAAUUAAUAUUAUUUGUCAGUUAUUUUCUGGUGAGAUUUAUUUUUAUUAUGUAUUAUGUUAUUAGAAAUCUAACCAAAGAGAUCUCUUAUCCUAACAAAAAAUUUAAAUUUUAGUUUAUGUAUUUUUGUCCUCAAAAGGAUAGAUUAGUAUUUAGUAUGUUUCUGUGGUAUUGUGUGUCUAACCAAAGUUCUUACUUUGGUUAGACAUUAUAACUUUUCAUUUGUAUCAUAUUUUUAUAGUUCCUAAUUAUACUCUUACGUUUGAAUAAGUUGUUAUUUUAUUAUGUUUUUUUGUUUAGGAAUUAUAUGUCAUAAUUGGUUUUAGUUCCCCCCACAUAUUUUUUACUUAAUUUAUCAUUCUUAUAUUUCUUUUUGUUUACUUUGAUUAUCAGGAACUUGGAAAAAGACUUUACGGGUUUUCUUUUCGGACUUUAAAGUCUUAUUAUCUAAACGUCCGGAGAUAUCUUUGCGUAUCUUUCGAUUAGAUGAUAAACUUUAUUGAAUGAAAGUAUUCCCUGAAGCGGCUUAUUGUAUCUAUGAUACAACUCAUCUACGAGUAUGUAGAUCCCUGACAAAAAAAAAAAAAAAAGAAGAGUAUCAAUUCAAAUUAUUUUAGAAUUUCCAAAAUUUUGUACUAGAGUCUUUAAUCUUCUGUUACAUUCAAUUUUAUACGUAUUUUUCAAUACUCG